GACGAACGCUGGCGGCGUGCUUAACACAUGCAAGUCGAACGGUGAAGCGAGUGCGUGCACUCGUGGACGAGUGGCGAACGGGUGAGUAACACGUGAGUAACCUGUCCCUCACUCAGGGAUAAGCACUGGAAACGGUGACUCAUAAUGGAUACGAUCUACCCAUGCAUGGGGUGUGGGUGGAAAGAUUUAUCGGUGAUGUGUGGACUCGCGGCCUAUCUGCUUGUUGGCGGGGUAAUGGCCCACCAAGGCUACGACGGGUCGCCGGCCUGAGAGGGAGACCGGCCACACGGCGACUGAGACACGCCCACGACUGGCAGGGGUGGCAACAGUGGGAAAUAUUGCACAAUGCGGGAACGGCUGAGCCGGCGAGCGCGCGAGAGGGAUGACGUCCUUCGCGUUGUAAACCACUUUCAGAGGGGAAGAAGCGAUAGUGACGGUACCUUCAGAAGAAGCACCGGCUAACUACGUG
rnacentral:rRNA from 1 species